AUGCACGCUGGCGGCGUGCUUAACACCUGCAAGUCGAACGGAAAGGCCCAAGCUUGCUUGGGUACUCGAGUGGCGAACGGGUGAGUAACACGUGGGUGAUCUGCCCUGCACUUCGGGAUAAGCCUGGGAAACUGGGUCUAAUACCGGAUAGGACCACAUUUUGGAUGGUGUGGUGGAAAGUUUUUCGGUGUGGGAUGAGCUCGCGGCCUAUCAGCUUGUUGGUGGGGUAAUGGCCUACCAAGGCGUCGACGGGUAGCCGGCCUGAGAGGGUGUACGGCCACAUUGGGACUGAGAUACGGCCCAGACUCCUACGGGAGGCAGCAGUGGGGAAUAUUGCACAAUGGGCGCAAGCCUGAUGCAGCGACGCCGCGUGGGGGAUGACGGCCUUCGGGUUGUAAACUCCUUUCGCUAGGGACGAAGCGUUAUGUGACGGUACCUGGAGAAGAAGCACCGGCUAACUACGUG
rnacentral:rRNA from 1 species